GGAUGAGCCCGCGGCCUAUCAGCUUGUUGGUGGGGUAAUGGCCUACCAAGGCGACGACGGGUAGCCGACCUGAGAGGGUGAUCGGCCACACUGGGACUGAGACACGGCCCAGACUCCUACGGGAGGCAGCAGUGGGGAAUAUUGCACAAUGGGCGCAAGCCUGAUGCAGCGACGCCGCGUGAGGGAUGACGGCCUUCGGGUUGUAAACCUCUUUCACCAGGGACGAAGCGUGAGUGACGGUACCUGGAGAAGAAGCACCGGCCAACUACGUGCCAGCAGCCGCGGCCG
rnacentral:rRNA from 1 species